ACAUUUUUAGCUCAAUUUCGUAGGUAAAAUCAAAUGCUUUCUUGAUCAUUGAUCUUACAGAUAAAAUCUGGUUUAUCAGUUAUCACAAAAGGUCCAUAUAUCUGAAGUGGAUUAGUCAGAUGUAUUUCUUGCUUUAUCAUCUUGACUGGAGACUUUAUGCAUACUUGAAUGUUGCCUUGUGUGUGUGAAUGAACAUGUCUCAUAGUACGUCUUAAGAAAGAGAUCAAACAUCUUGCAGUUGUGAAUAGGGUUAAAUGAAACACAUCAACCGAUAAUUUCCUUUAUGUCUGUCACCUCUUCAUUCUUUUUGGUACCCAA
rnacentral:misc_RNA from 1 species